rnacentral:rRNA from 1 species
UACGAAGGGGGCGAGCGUUGUUCGGAUUUACUGGGCGUAAAGGGCGCGCAGGCGGCUAUCCAAGUCAGGCGUGAAAGCCCCGGGCUUAACCUGGGAGGUGCGUCUGGGACUGAGUGGCUAGAGUUCGGGAGAGGAGAGUGGAAUUCCCAGUGUAGAGGUGAAAUUCGUAGAUAUUGGGAAGAACACCGGUGGCGAAGGCGGCUCUCUGGACCGAGACUGACGCUGAGGCGCGAAAGCGUGGGGAGCAAACAGG